rnacentral:rRNA from 1 species
CCUACGGGAGGCAGCAGUGGGGAAUAUUGGACAAUGGGGGCAACCCUGAUCCAGCCAUGCCGCGUGUGUGAAGAAGGCCCUCGGGUUGUAAAGCACUUUCAGUGAGGAAGAACGCCUGGUGGUUAAUACCCAUCAGGAAAGACAUCACUCACAGAAGAAGCACCGGCUAACUCCGUGCCAGCAGCCGCGGUAAUACGGAGGGUGCGAGCGUUAAUCGGAAUUACUGGGCGUAAAGCGCGCGUAGGUGGCUUGAUAAGCCGGUUGUGAAAGCCCCGGGCUCAACCUGGGAACGGCAUCCGGAACUGUCAAGCUAGAGUGCAGGAGAGGGAGGUAGAAUUCCCGGUGUAGCGGUGAAAUGCGUAGAGAUCGGGAGGAAUACCAGUGGCGAAGGCGGCCUUCUGGACUGACACUGACACUGAGGUGCGAAAGCGUGGGUAGCAAACAGGAUUAGAUACCCUUGUAGUC